rnacentral:rRNA from 1 species
UACGGGGGGGGUAAGCGUUGUUCGGAAUUACUGGGCGUAAAGGGCUCGUAGGCGGCCAACUAAGUCAUACGUGAAAUCCCUCAGCUUAACUGGGGAACUGCGUGUGAUACUGGAUGGCUUGGAUUUGGGAGAGGGAUGCGGAAUUCCAGGUGUAGCGGUGAAAUGCGUAGAUAUCAGGAGGAACACCUGCGGUGUAGACGGCUUACUGGACCAUCACUGACGCUGAGGCACGAAAGCGUGGGUAGCAAACAGG